CACCAGACUCCUACGGGAGGCAGCAGUGAGGAAUAUUGGUCAAUGGGCGCGAGCCUGAACCAGCCAAGUCGCGUGAGGGAAGACGGUCCUAUGGAUUGUAAACCUCUUUUGUCGGGGAGCAAAAGACGCCACGUGUGGCGUUCCGAGAGUACCCGAAGAAAAAGCAUCGGCUAACUCCGUGCCAGCAGCCGCGGUAAUACGGAGGAUGCGAGCGUUAUCCGGAUUUAUUGGGUUUAAAGGGUGCGCAGGCGGAAGAUCAGUUCAGGGUUAAAAUUGAGGGGCUCACCCUCUGCGAGCCGUUGAAACUGGUUUUCUUGAGUGAGUGAGAAGUAUGCGGAAUGCGUGGUGUAGCGGUGAAAUGCAUAGAUAUCACGCAGAACUCCGAUUGCGAAGGCAGCAUACCGGCGCGCAACUGACGCUCAUGCACGAAAGCGUGGGUAUCGAACAGGAUUAGAUACCCUGGUA
rnacentral:rRNA from 1 species